rnacentral:tRNA from 1 species
GCUUUUGGUGGCUCAGUUGGCUGAGCAUUGUGCUAACAAUGCAAAGGUUGUGGGUUCAAAUCCCAGGGAAAGUG